rnacentral:rRNA from 1 species
ACGGAAGGGGCUAGCGUUGUUCGGAAUUACUGGGCGUAAAGCGCGCGUAGGCGGCCAUGCAAGUGAGGCGUGAAAGGCCUGGGCUCAACCUGGGAACUGCGUUUCAGACUGCACGGCUAGAGUCCGGGAGAGGGAGGUGGAAUUCCCAGUGUAGAGGUGAAAUUCGUAGAUAUUGGGAGGAACACCGGUGGCGAAGGCGGCUUCCUGGCCCUGUACUGACGCUCAGGCGCGAGAGCGUGGGUAGCAAACAG